GUGCUGGUACCCAGCAUUCGGGUCUCCGACACCCGUCCAGAGAGACGCUUGCUGCCUUCUCUCCUGCCUCGUCGCCUUCCACUUAUAAACAUCCAUCUCAAACUUUCCAAAACUCACAAGACUUCACCCUCAAGUCAGGGCAAUCAAAGCCUCCUGAUGUCCGAGAGAAACUUCUCGCUAACUCUAAGUCUAAAUGUCAGGUUCUCACAAGUGAGGUAGACAUUAGCUGACAUUCAGUCACAUCUUGGCAAGUUUAGCCUUGCUCUGAGGAAGGUAUCCUUCUUAAUCUAUCAAAACCUCAAAUAAUUCAAAUUAUCAACAAUUCAUUGCCUCUUACAAAACUAAAUUGGUGCGCGCCUCAGCGCACUGCCCUCUCCCUUCUCUCCCGUGAAAAACGUAAAACAGAAUCAAACUGGGACUUUCAGAACACUGAAAAAACUGAAAGAGACUCUAAUAUCAGUCAAACUUAUCAAGGAAGAGCAUCAGCACACGAUCUUUAGCAACAUCUUCAGUCCAGGAGAGGACUGCUGCUCGCACGGAGUGGGAGUCAGCUGUUGUUGGGUCCAAUAUCCAUCACUUUUAGCAAGGGUUUCCUGGAAAAUUAUUCAUGAAAUACAAAACAUAGUGUGGUGAGACCAGCUGACUGUUGUCAUGACGACGAUGACGCUCUUCCAGACCACAUCGUUGUUGGUCCUGAUACUCUCUGCCUGGUCUCUGACCGCUCAAGAAACUGAUCACUCCCAGGCCAGUUCGCCAGAGUUCCUUUACAGUGUCGAAA